GGGCGCGUAGCUCAGCUGGCAAGAGCGCUGCCCUUACAAGGCAGAGGCCCCUGGUUCGAGUCCAGGCGCGCCCA
rnacentral:tRNA from 1 species